CGCCUGUUUAUCAAAAACAUAGCCCCUUGAAAAUAUUUAUAAGGGGUAAAGCCUGCCCAGUGGAAUCUCUUAACGGCCGCGGUAUCCUGACCGUGCAAAGGUAGCAUAAUCAUUUGUCUCUUAAUUGGGGACUGGUAUGAAUGGCACCACAUUUUCCAUCUGUCUCCUUUCCUCCUCUUCUAAACUUCUAUUAACGUGAAGAAGCGUUAAUAAAAAAGAAAGACGAGAAGACCCUGUCGAGCUUCAGCUAAAAAGAAAACAUAACUCUUUCUUCAAGAAACAAAAACUUUUUCCCUACAGCUUUGGUUGGGGCAACCAUGGAGAACAUAAAUAUCCUCCAGUGAAACUAUAGAUCUCUCAUCCUACUAAAAUCUAGAACCAAAAUGAUUGGAAACCGGAAAUAGUUACCGCAGGGAUAACAGCGUUAUCUUCUUUAAGAGCCCCCAUUGACAAGAAGGAUUGCGACCUCGAUGUUGGAUUAGGGUAACCAAAAGGUGCAACAGCUUUUUUAGGUUGGACUGUUCGUCCAUUAAUCCCCUACGUGAUCUGAGUUCAGACCGGA
rnacentral:rRNA from 1 species